rnacentral:rRNA from 1 species
AACGAACGCUGGCGGCAAGCCUAACACAUGCAAGUCGAACGAGACCUUCGGGUCUAGUGGCGCACGGGUGCGUAACGCGUGGGAACCUGCCCUUAGGUUCGGAAUAACUCCCCGAAAGGGGUGCUAAUACCGGAUAAUGUCUUCGGACCAAAGAUUUAUCGCCUUUGGAUGGGCCCGCGUUGGAUUAGCUAGUUGGUAGGGUAAAAGCCUACCAAGGCGACGAUCCAUAGCUGGUCUGAGAGGAUGAUCAGCCACACUGGGACUGAGACACGGCCCAGACUCCUACGGGAGGCAGCAGUGGGGAAUAUUGGACAAUGGGCGAAAGCCUGAUCCAGCAAUGCCGCGUGAGUGAUGAAGGCCUUAGGGUUGUAAAGCUCUUUUACCCGGGAUGAUAAUGACAGUACCGGGAGAAUAAGCUCCGGCUAACUCCGU